rnacentral:lncRNA from 1 species
AAAAGAUAGAAAGAGGCAAGAAUUGUGUAAAGCGGGGAUAGUCACCACCAGGAUCCGGCAGCAGUCCCGUUGCACGAUGUUCCGACGGUCCGAGGCCGAAGGGCAGGAGCAGCGAGGCCGGUCUUGGGCAACGAGAGGGUGCAGGUCAGGGAGGAAGCAGCAGGUCUCAGGUAGCAGGCCCAGGGAAGUCCGUCAGCAAACGGUCCGUAGAGGAGGAUCGGAAGGCAGGAAGCUCGUGUCGUGGUGAGAGAUCAGUCUCCACGUAGAGAUCCGUCUACACGUUGCGGUGGUUGUUGGACCCUCUUUU